GUUCAAUACAAUUGGCACUUGAAUCAGACACGUCUAUCCCAAGUGUGGCCUCCUGUCUGUAUGCAGCCAUAGCAAAGCCUCCCAGGAGCACUUCAUCCCUGGGGUCGCACACCCACUUCUCGCAGCACUCUCCGGGGACUUCGAUCUUCCGCGGGAAGGGGCAGUCGGGGCCGGGGAGCAGCAGGCCCAGGUUGCAGCGGGGCAGGCACCCGAUCUGCCCGUCCCGGCAGGUGCACUGGUACUUGCAGCUGGGCUGGAACGUCUCCCCGUUGCGGUAAAUCAUCCCAUCGAACACGCAGUUGUCCCCUUCCAGCACCAUGCAGAUGCCGGCGCCGCCGCCGUCCUCGGGGCCGCGGUCGCAGUAGAGGCCGCCGCUCUCGUCGCAGGGCAGCAGAGGGGAGCAGCUCUCGCCGCGCUGCCGGGCGCACACCAGGCAGCAGCCGCAGCCGUCCAGCACGGCGGGCACUCCCGGGGCGCAGCGCGGCGGCUCCGCGGGGCAGCGCCCGCCGCAGGGCCGGGGGCACGCCGCCUCCCGCCCGCUCACCUCGCACGGCCGGAGGAGGAGCAGGAGCAGCAGCAGGACGGGCAGCCCCUGCCCGCCGCCCGUCUCCAUAGUCCCGGCCGUCUACCCGCCGCGCCGCU
rnacentral:lncRNA from 1 species